rnacentral:rRNA from 1 species
CCUACGGGCGGCUGCAGUGAGGAAUAUUGGUCAAUGGGCGGGAGCCUGAACCAGCCAAGCCGCGUGAGGGAGGAAGGUACUGUGUGUUGUAAACCUCUUUUGUCAGGGAACAAAGGCGGGGACGUGUCCCGGGCUGCGUGUAUCCGAAGAAAAAGCAUCGGCUAACUCCGUGCCAGCAGCCGCGGUAAUACGGAGGAUGCGAGCGUUAUCCGGAUUUAUUGGGUUUAAAGGGUGCGCAGGCGGUCAGUUAAGUCAGCGGUAAAAUGGCGGGGCUCAACCCCGGCCCGCCGUUGAAACUGGCAGUCUCGAGUUGGAGAGAAGUAUGCGGAAUGCGCGGUGUAGCGGUGAAAUGCAUAGAUAUCGCGCAGAACUCCGAUUGCGAAGGCAGCGUACCGGCGCCACACUGACGCUGAGGCACGAAAGCGUGGGUAUCGAACAGGAUUAGAUACCCUUGUAGUC